UGAGGUCCUAUGAGUCCGAUGUGAGCAUGGAUGUUCUGGGGAUGAAGAUUUAAUGAAUUGCUUGUGGUGCCCAUUAGCCAACAAAUGCCUUGAAAAGUCACGUCAAAACAUUGCAGACAAAUAAAAAGGAUGAUAAACUUCUAUUUUUUAUCAUUGGACAGAUGUCAAUAGACAAGAACCAAUUCAAUCCAAUCUUGGCAGCAUAAAGCCAACAAAUGUUUCAAAAAGUAACUUCAAAGCAUUGCAAAGAAAUGAAUAGGAUGAUGAACUUCUAUCUAUAAUUUGACAAUUGUCAAUGGACAGGGACCAAUUCAAUCCAAUCUUGUCAGCAUGAAGCUAACAAAUGCCCUACAGAAGCCAAUCAAUAUUAAAACAUGUCAGGAAAAUAAAACAUGACGUAUCAAUUGACGAUCUAACCUACCACUUAGGCUGUGAAAAUACGAAGUAUGGAGGAUCUAAUGAUGAAAAAUGUACAAUGCUGUUUAAAACUUCAUGAGGGCAAUUGACAGAAGCGAAGGAGAUGCAAUUUUAUGAAUAUCCCAUAAGCCAGUCAGCAAUCUAUUCUGAAUCACCAUCAUAGGAAGCAACCCAACACUGUUUCGAAGGAUCCUUUCGGCGAAUAUCAGUGGGUCGUUUUUUGCAUCAAUAUAUUCAUUUCUUUGGAAAUAGUUUCAUUAUCCUUCAUUUCAAUAAAAACUUAUAUAGCCAA
rnacentral:lncRNA from 1 species